UGGGGAAUAUUGGACAAUGGGCGCAAGCCUGAUCCAGCCAUGCCGCGUGAGCGACGAAGGCCUUAGGGUUGUAAAGCUCUUUCGGCGGGGAAGAUAAUGACGGUACCCGCAGAAGAAGCCCCGGCUAACUCUGUGCCAGCAGCCGCGGUAAUACAGAGGGGGCAAGCGUUGUUCGGAAUCACUGGGCGUAAAGCGCACGUAGGUGGAUAGUUAAGUUCGGGGUGAAAUCCCAGGGCUCAACCCUGGAACUGCCUCGGAUACUGGCUAUCUCGAGUCCGGAAGAGGUGAGUGGAAUUCCUAGUGUAGAGGUGAAAUUCGUAGAUAUUAGGAAGAACACCGGUGGCGAAGGCGGCUCACUGGUCCGGUACUGACACUGAGGUGCGAAAGCGUGGGGAGCAAACAGGAUUAGAUACCCAGGUAGUCCCUGAGCGGGCUGGCAAGGCGCAU
rnacentral:rRNA from 1 species